UGGGGAAUAUUGCACAAUGGGCGCAAGCCUGAUGCAGCAACGCCGCGUGAGGGAUGACGGCCUUCGGGUUGUAAACCUCUUUUAGUAGGGAAGAAGCGAAAGUGACGUACUGCAGAAAAAGCACCGGCUAACUACGUGCCAGCAGCCGCGGUAAUACGUAGGGUGCGAGCGUUGUCCGGAAUUAUUGGGCGUAAAGAGCUCGUAGGCGGUCUGUCGCGUCUGCUGUGAAAAAUCCCGAGGCUCAACCUCGGGCCUGCAGUGGGUACGGGCAGACUAGAGUGCGGUAGGGGAGAAUGGAAUUCCUGGUGUAGCGGUGGAAUGCGCAGAUAUCAGGAGGAACACCGAUGGCGAAGGCAGUUCUCUGGGCCCGUAACUGACGCUGAGGAGCGAAAGCGUGGGGAGCGAACAGGAUUAGAUACCCUGGUAGUCCACGCCGUAAACGUUGGGCGCUAGAUGUGGGGACCAUUCCACGGUUUCCGUGUCGCAGCUAACGCAUUAAGCGCCCCGCCUGGGGAGUACGGCCGCAAGGCUAAAACU
rnacentral:rRNA from 1 species